rnacentral:tRNA from 1 species
AGGAUUAUAGUUUAAAUAAAACAUUUGAUUUGCAUUCAAAAAAUAUUAAUAUAAUUAUUUUAUCUUA